CACACGAUGCAUCAGCGUGCAACCCGUUGAUUGAAAUUGAACCGUCCUGUUAUCGAAAGAUAGGCAGAAGAUACGAAAUGUGUGACAGCAUGGGAAGUAAAGGCAGACCGUGGUUCCCUUGAGUAUCUUA
rnacentral:ncRNA from 1 species